UUGCCAGUUUUACUGCCUUACCAAGUGUUUCUCUCAUGAUUAUUCUGACUACUAUCUUGUGUAUAACCUUGCCUGUUUACUCUGACCAUUGUCUUUUCGGAUCAACCCUGCAUUCUGGUCUUGGCGGAGUACGCUGUAGCAGCACAAUUACUAUGACUUGCUACUGCCAAUAUUUCCACAACAUGCUGCUGCUGAGCAGGGACGGUUCUAAGCAACUGUUGGAACACUGAAUGCCACAGGUAAAAAAAGAAAAGGGUUCUCAAUGGAUAUUGCUGUUUGAAGGCUCCCCUCCUGUGGCUGAUAAUGCUUCUGCAGAUGUAAUAUUUUGUCACCUUCUCUUUCCAUACCACAGAAGAUCUGAGUUUCGCUGAUGUGGGUAUGUACACAGUUUCAUGCUUUUUAAGUUAUUAGCAUAUUAUUUAUUGGAGUACUAUGUUUUAUAUCAGUGUUUUUGAUGCAGUUGAUUGAAUUGAUGUGUUUGAAAAUGAGAAUAAUGUAUUUAACAUUUUAACAAAGUUGUUGAGAUUGUUAUAAACUUUUUGAAUUUCCUUGUGCAUCACACAAGUACAAACAAGCUGA